rnacentral:hammerhead_ribozyme from 1 species
AUCUGGCUGACGAAUCCCAACUAGGACGGAACACGCAUCCUGGAU